CGUAGUCCGAGCGAAUAGUUUAGAGUUGCCUUAUCGAAAUUGUAGAUUCGUAGACAUCCGUGUUUUAGUCUGUUUUCUUUUCUUUUUAAUCAAUCUAUUAAAAUAUUCGAUAACAAGGACUCGUAGUCCUCGUUAAACAACCGCGUUUUUACGAAAGCCCGGUAUCCAACAUCGCACUACUUUCCCCGUUAAUAUUCAUAACGAUAAACACUUCCGGUUCUCCUAAGUCUCGCGAAAUCUCCGUAAAAAGCGAGAAAGGUUCGAGAAACAAAGGUACCGGAUAAAGCAACGUUUUAACAGAUGGAAACGCCGCCCUCCGUUUCCCAGAUAGACGAUCGUGAAGAGCCCCGAGCCCGCGAAGGGAUAUUUUUCUGUAACGGGCAUCGGCAGAUCGAUAUCGUCCGGUUACAUGCCCGUAGCAACUUGUCCGCGAAUAAUUCCCUUAUCUGUACCGCGGCGGGCCCCUGCGCCGCCGCCGCCGCCGCGUAAAUAUUUGUUUCCGAGCAUUCCACUUCUCACCUUCGCAGCGGGUGCGCCUUCGUCGAAACCGAAAUUUCCCCGGCUACCUCGUUUGCAUUAAUUAUACUUCGCGUACUCCGUCUUGCGCGUAAUUGCGGAUGCACACGCACGCUAUGUGUGCAGUGACCAGUGACACAUGCGCGGAAUAAUAGCACACAAACGAAGGCGAGGUAUACACAAACGCGGACUUACGCGGCCGACGUACUGUAACGGGCAAAAGUCUUGGGGUAUUUACAUCUUUACUUUCGAUUUAAUUUAUGGAGCUUAUUUUUCGCAAUAUUAUCGCACGAGGUACCCUCUGGAAAUUGAUAAAAAUAGGAUUGAUUCGAAGGAAAAUUUAAGGGUGUUUAUCACUUUGGAAAUUUAAAAUUUACAGCUUAAUACACAUCUGUGUGAAAUGUGGCUUCAAUGUACCGUUUAGUUUGUUCACAGCUACUAGGUUGCAUAAAAUAAUACUAAAAAUCCUAAUUGCAACUGUAAUCGUAUCGAUAACUCGUUUUCUUGAUUAACACUUUCGCUGCGGACGAAAAUAAGUAGCCGUUCGCUAGGAGCUGCAAUUAUAUUUUUUUUUUAAUGAAGAAUUUUUUACUAAUGUGAUUAUCAAUCUAAUAUGAUUAUUUUGAAAAAUAUCAUUUUGAAAUAAUAUGAUUGCCGAACAAAAAAAAUGAAAACAACCAUAUAUAUUUGCACACGUGUUGGGCACAUGUGCGUCAUUUGCAGCGAAAGUGUUGAAAAUCGUAAUCAAAUAAUAAUUUAAAAAUCUUAUCAUAGAAACUAUAUCCUUAUUAAUACUUUCUGUAUUUGAGUUUCGUUUCGACUAGCAGAAAAGACCAUCGUAAUACUUGGUGCUCGAAUUUUUUUGAAAGCUUCCACGCGAUUUUUUAAUUAUUUUCGUAUCAUUUCUUUCAAUCGUUUCGUUGCGAAGCUCAAUACCAAAUAUACGUCGAUUUAUUAACAUUUAUUGGAGAGUAACGCGAGUUUUAUAUAUGGUGGUGCGAGACUUUUGCGUAGUACUGUAUGACACGGAACCAGAACACGUCCAAGCAACGUACGCGUUUAUCGUUCGAGCAGCAGAUAUAUAUCGGGUUAUAUCAAUCUUGCUAAGUGAGCAAUGCAUAUGCUUACGGCGCUCGGAAAGUUUUCGACAAGCCCGAGCGUGGGCGUAGAAUGCCCACUGAGCAUCGUUCUUUUUAUGCAUAUCGUAUGGAUAUGUAUGCACACGUAUUCACCCACCGGCCGGAUAUAAACACCUGCCCGUCGUGCUCGCCUUUACGGACCCUGCCCUUUCCCCGUACCACGUGCGAAAGAGGGGGCGCCCUUUAAAUUGCGAACGGGGGAGGGCUGGAUAUUUAUUGCCAAAGGUGGCACCGACGAGCGUUUAUGAUCCUCGGGGAAUUAACGAUACCAAUUAGCCACGGACAAAAAGUCGACAUUGUCGCGCUAUCUUGCACCUGAGGACGAUUACGUCGCUUGCAACCUUGUCGUCUGAAUCACGGAAGAACGAUCAGCCGUCUUUUCGUCGAGCGAAGCACAUAACGGAUCCCCAUUAGCCGAUGGUCCGCGAGGAUACAAAAAACCUCAUCCGCGUUUUGAAAAGCACUCACCUCCUGAGCAGCCAAUCUUAUCUGAUGCCGAGAGCUGAUUGAUAUCGCGAUAUAGCCUCGAGAGGGUGGUUCGAGUCUCAUCCACCAUAAACCGCCCCCAUCGUCAGCUUUAUGAACUGGCAACGGGGGCGGUAAGGGCGGCGCUGAACAUUUAGUGCCUUCGAGGUGGUUGACGAUUUCUUUGGAAGCUGAACGACAUCUUGUAUUAAACGAAGUCUACGGAAGGGAUUAACUUCUCGAAGGGAUCGCGUCACGCGGCCGUUUAUUUACAAAUCUUAUAUUGGACUAGCUUUCAUCCGGUUCUGAAGUGCCAUGGAAAUAAAGCUUAAUUCGUUGUUUGCUUCGCGACGAGUUUGGCGUCGGCACACGUGCCGUGUCAUGCGACGAGCGAGCGCGACGCGGUGUCAUACGCAAGCACUCAAACGACAAAGGAAAAUUUAAAUUCGGACACCAGCCACGUGAACUCCUUCCCAGUCGAAAUCCUUUUAUAUCGUAUUUAACGCAAAUAUAUCGAGAAACGUCGAAUAGACUGCCAAGGCAUCCUC